CCGAGAGAAAAAGACCAGUUAAAGGCGGGUUUGUGUCUGUGCAAAGCCCGUGUGUGUGCAAAGCCCGUGUGUGCGCAUGCGUGCCUGUAUCCAGAUGGCGGUAAAGGGUGAAAGAAAAACUGGGGUCAUUUUUCUCUUAAAUAUGCUUGUCCAUCAGGAUGGCCAUACCACUGUCUCCAGUGAAAAACCCUCUACUCACAUCAGAGUUUGGGAGAAAUGAGGCACCUGUUUUCAUCAGCGCAAACCCAUCAGCUUUACCCUAUCUUGGACGUCAAAGGAAACGCAGAACUUGGGAGAAAUCUGGGUUCUACAUCGUGUCCAUAAUUCAUCCACAUGUCUAAAUUGGUUGGAAAAUAAAACUCUUGCAAUGUCUUCCUGGUCCACUUCAUUUUGCAAACUUCCUUUGACCCUAAUAGCUCAACCAGGUCCUCUUCUCCUUGCCCUCCUGG
rnacentral:lncRNA from 1 species